GAUGAACGCUGGCGGCGUGCCUAAUACAUGCAAGUCGAGCGAAUGGAUUAAGGGCUUGCUCUUAUGAAGUUAGCGGCGGACGGGUGAGUAACACGUGGGUAACCUGCCCAUAAGACUGGGAUAACUCCGGGAAACCGGGGCUAAUACCGGAUAACAUUUUGAACCGCAUGGUUCGAAAUUGAAAGGCGGCUUCGGCUGUCACUUAUGGAUGGACCCGCGUCGCAUUAGCUAGUUGGUGAGGUAACGGCUCACCAAGGCAACGAUGCGUAGCCGACCAGGGAGGGUGAUCGGCCACACUGGGACUGAGACACGGCCCAGACUCCUACGGGAGGCAGCAGUAGGGAAUCGUCCGCAAUGGACGAAAGUCUGACGGAGCAACGCCGCGUGAGUGAUGAAGGCUUUCGGGUCGUAAAACUCUGUUGUUAGGGAAGAACAAGUGCUAGUUGAAUAAGCUGGCACCUUGACGGUACCUAACCAGAAAGCCACGGCUAACUACGUGCCAGCCGCCGCAGUAA
rnacentral:rRNA from 1 species